AUACGAAGGGGGCUAGCGUUGUUCGGAAUUACUGGGCGUAAAGCGCGCGUAGGCGGAUUGAUCAGUUAGGGGUGAAAUCCCAGGGCUUAACCGUGGAACUGCCUCUAAUACUGCCAGUCUUGAGUUCGGGAGAGGUGAGUGGAAUUCCUAGUGUAGAGGUGAAAUUCGUAGAUAUUAGGAAGAACACCAGUGGCGAAGGCGGCUCACUGGCCCGAUACUGACGCUGAGGCGCGAAAGCGUGGGGAGCAAACAGGAUUAGAAACCCUAGUAGUCC
rnacentral:rRNA from 1 species